GAUGAACGCUGGCGGCGUGCCUAAUACAUGCAAGUCGAGCGAACGGACGAGAAGCUUGCUUUUCUGAUGUUAGCGGCGGACGGGUGAGUAACACGUGGAUAACCUACCUAUAAGACUGGGAUAACUUCGGGAAACCGGAGCUAAUACCGGAUAAUAUUUUGAACCGCAUGGUUCAAAAGUGAAAGACGGUCUUGCUGUCACUUAUAGAUGGAUCCGCGCUGCAUUAGCUAGUUGGUAAGGUAACGGCUUACCAGGGCAACGAUGCAUAGCCGACCUGAGAGGGUGAUCGGCCACACUGGAACUGAGACACGGUCCAGACUCCUACGGGAGGCAGCAGUAGGGAAUCUUCCGCAAAGGGCGAAAGCCUGACGGAGCAACGCCGCGUGAGUGAUGAAGGUCUUCGGAUCGUAAAACUCUGUUAUUAGGGAAGAACAUAUGUGUAAUUAACUGUGCACAUCUUGACGGUACCUAAUCAGAAAGCCACGGCUAACUACGUG
rnacentral:rRNA from 1 species